rnacentral:rRNA from 1 species
CCUACGGGGGGCUGCAGUGGGGAAUAUUGGACAAUGGGGGGAACCCUGAUCCAGCCAUGCCGCGUGUGUGAAGAAGGCCCUCGGGUUGUAAAGCACUUUCAGUGAGGAAGAACGCCUGGUGGUUAAUACCCAUCAGGAAAGACAUCACUCACAGAAGAAGCACCGGCUAACUCCGUGCCAGCAGCCGCGGUAAUACGGAGGGUGCGAGCGUUAAUCGGAAUUACUGGGCGUAAAGCGCGCGUAGGUGGCUUGAUAAGCCGGUUGUGAAAGCCCCGGGCUCAACCUGGGAACGGCAUCCGGAACUGUCAAGCUAGAGUGCAGGAGAGGAAGGUAGAAUUCCCGGUGUAGCGGUGAAAUGCGUAGAGAUCGGGAGGAAUACCAGUGGCGAAGGCGGCCUUCUGGACUGACACUGACACUGAGGUGCGAAAGCGUGGGUAGCACACAGGAUUAGAUACCCCGGUAGUC